CAGCCCGUCUGCUUCCAUCUUCAUCGAGCAGAGCAGACAGUCCUGUUGCCCUAGCAACUCCGGACUCCACACAGACACAGCAUUUACACCUGCUGCUCCAGGGCCAGUACUGUUCAUUUGCACAAUGUCUCUUGUUCACAUUCGCUUGCAAAUGUCCAAACUCCCCAAAAAUUACAAUCGGUAGCUCCUAUAUAUGUAUAAGUAUUGAGCUGGACUGCCUGUCUCUUUAUAAAAAAUGCUUUCGUUUAUACUCUUUGGCAUAUUUAGCUAGCAGCCUCUAUGGAAAUUUGCUAUCAUUUAUGCUAAUUUUGUUAGCAUUCUGGUAACAGACUCCCAAAGGGCUUCUAAUUUUUUGGCGCCCCCUUCUGUACUGAGCCUGUAAUACCGUAAAUUCCUGCCUGAGAGAAGGACGUUAUGAUGAUACACAAAUCUGAAUACCGCCCAACCCUUGUCUAGUGUCCCCUAAAAUCACCUUUCUUGCUCAUGUACAACUUGAAGUCAUCAGGAACUUCUCUGUCUCUGAAAUCCCGACAUCAUCUGUGUCUCUGAGCUGGAUUGAACCAUUGGGAAACAGCUCCUUCUAUAGAGUAGAGUGGACUGAUGGCAGUAGAGAUAUGAAUUGAACUACCAUUGAGACAGCCUUUAAUGUAACUGAGCAUUUUUAACCAGUAUAUCUGUCAGUCACUGUAGUUUUGGUUCACAUAAUUCUCUCUUUUGAAGGGAGUGUAGACUCCAACUGAUCCAGAAUAUUUAGGAAAUGUGUUUAUCUGCAAUCAACUGCAAAAUUGGGCUUGGAUAGUGUGAUUAAGUGCUUGUCCUUUAUUGAAAACUCCUUUUUUUGUCCCCAAAACGUUUCAUGUCAUUGAUAAUGCUUACUAUCUUUAAAUAUGUUUUUAGAGGUACCACUUUUGUGUCCUACAUACUGACCUUAAAUGUAAGUAGAAUUAGCAUGCUUCUGAUCAUAUAUAUAGAGUGUAUGGUGAAUACCAUGAAUAAUAAUGAUUCUGGUGAUCUUUUCCCAAAAUAUAACUUUCUUGCACGCACAGAGCCUGCAGUCAUCAGGAACCUGACUGUCACUGAAAUCACAACAUCAUCUGUGUCUCUGAGCUGGAUUGAACCAUUGGGAAACAGAUCCUUAUUCAGAAUUGAAUGGACUGAUGGCAAUACCAGUGGCAGUCAGAAUACCCCAGAAACCUCUUUUAAUGUUACUGCUCUCACUCCUGGAGUGCAGUACCUCUUCACAGUCACUGCAGUGGCUGGAGAUAACACAACUGUAGGACAGAGCAAGACAGUUUCUAAGUAUACAAAGCCUGCAGUCAUCAGGAAC
ensembl:lncRNA